CAGAGAGUGAAGUGCAUCUCUUUAGCUCAGCAAUCAUUGGACAGACCUGCUUGCUUAUGCACUUUCAGGGGACCAUGCCAGCUGUAGGAGUGCAGCAAGGUAAAAGUUCAUCCUGGGUGCUACCCUCCUUGACUAAUCCAUCUGCACUUCCUCCAGGCCCCUUGGACUUUUGAUUUCACAGUAAGAUCCCGAGGAGACAAAAAAUGAAGAGCAUGAUAAGAAAAUUGGACUCAUAAUAUGGCAACACUUCCUUUGAAGAACCCCACCCCCUUUCAGGUAGCGAUGCAAAGGUGGACGUUGGUGUCCCCUGAAAUGUGGUUAUGCUAAUCUGCUCUGGGCACUGGACUACAGGUCACAUGUCCAUCAAAAGGGCCCACCGAGCAACGCCUAGUGCCAGCAUCUUGGAUUUUGCAGUUUCCGAGAAGAAUCCACCACAGGGUAAGGAGAAAGAGAGGAAAAAAGGGGGCAAGUAGGAUGAACCAUGAAGUCAGUCACACUUGGUCUCAACUGGCUUCUGAUUACCCAGACGAAACCAAGAGAAGAAAG